AACUUUCAGCAAUGGAUCUCUUGGCUCUGGCAACGAUGAAGAACGCAGCGAAACGCGAAAGGUAAUGCGAAUUGCAGAAUCAGUGAGUCAUCGAAUUUUUGAACGCACAUUGCGCCUCUCGGUAUUCCGGGAGGCACGCCUGUUCGAGCGCCAUUACACACCCCAAGCUCUGCUUGAUGUUGGACGAGGCCCUGUAAAAGGGGCCCGUCUAGAAUACGUGGGCGCCGCCGCCGGACCACGAGCGUAGCAAGACGCAAGUCAUUCGCUUCAGUGGGACCGUCGGACGGCCUUGCCAUAACAAAAACUUCUAAAGUUUGGCCUCGGAUCAGGCGGGGAUACCCGCUGAACUUAAGCAUAUCAAUAAGCGGAGGCU
rnacentral:misc_RNA from 1 species